rnacentral:rRNA from 1 species
UCGAGUCGGCCUGCGCGGAAGAUGUAACGGGGCUAAACCAUGCACCGAAGCUGCGGCAGCGACACUAUGUGUUGUUGGGUAGGGGAGCGUUCUGUAAGCCGUUGAAGGUGUAUCGUGAGGUAUGCUGGAGGUAUCAGAAGUGCGAAUGCUGACAUAAGUAACGAUAAUGCGGGUGAAAAACCCGCACGCCGGAAGACCAAGGGUUCCUGUCCAACGUUAAUCGGGGCAGGGUGAGUCGACCCCUAAGGCGAGGCCGAAAGGCGUAGUCGAUGGGAAACAGGUUAAUAUUCCUGUACUUGGUGUUACUGCGAAGGGGGGACGGAGAAGGCUAUGUUAGCCGGGCGACGGUUGUCCCGGUUUAAGCAUGUAGGCGGAGGUUCCAGGUAAAUCCGGUACCUUUUUAACGCUGAGGUGUGAUGACGAGGCACUACGGUGCUGAAGUAACAAAUGCCCUGCUUCCAGGAAAAGCCUCUAAGCAUCAGGUAACACGAAAUCGUACCCCAAACCGACACAGGUGGUCAGGUAGAGAAUACCAAGGCGCUUGAGAGAACUCGGGUGAAGGAACUAGGCAAAAUGGUGCCGUAACUUCGGGAGAAGGCACGCUGAUAUGUAGGUGAAGUGAUUUACUCAUGGAGCUGAAAUCAGUCGAAGAUACCAGCUGGCUGCAACUGUUUAUUAAAAACACAGCACUGUGCAAACACGAAAGUGGACGUAUACGGUGUGACGCCUGCCCGGUGCCGGAAGGUUAAUUGAUGGGGUUAUCCGUAAGGAGAAGCUCUUGAUCGAAGCCCCGGUAAACGGCGGCCGUAACUAUAACGGUCCUAAGGUAGCGAAAUUCCUUGUCGGGUAAGUUCCGACCUGCACGAAUGGCGUAAUGAUGGCCAGGCUGUCUCCACCCGAGACUCAGUGAAAUUGAACUCGCUGUGAAGAUGCAGUGUACCCGCGGCAAGACGGAAAGACCCCGUGAACCUUUACUAUAGCUUGACACUGAACACUGGUCCUUGAUGUGUAGGAUAGGUGGGAGGCUUUGAAGUGUGGACGCCAGUCUGCAUGGAGCCAUCCUUGAAAUACCACCCUUUAAUGGCUGGUGUUCUAACGUGGACCCGUUACCCGGGUUGCGGACAGUGUCUGGUGGGUAGUUUGACUGGGGCGGUCUCCUCCUAAAGAGUAACGGAGGAGCACGAAGGUUAGCUAAUCCUGGUCGGACAUCAGGAGGUUAGUGCAAAGGCAUAAGCUAGCUUGACUGCGAGAGUGACGGCUCGAGCAGGUGCGAAAGCAGGUCUUAGUGAUCCGGUGGUUCUGAAUGGAAGGGCCAUCGCUCAACGGAUAAAAGGUACUCCGGGGAUAACAGGCUGAUACCGCCCAAGAGUUCAUAUCGACGGCGGUGUUUGGCACCUCGAUGUCGGCUCAUCACAUCCUGGGGCUGAAGUAGGUCCCAAGGGUAUGGCUGUUCGCCAUUUAAAGUGGUACGCGAGCUGGGUUUAGAACGUCGUGAGACAGUUCGGUCCCUAUCUGCCGUGGGCGCUGGAGAAUUGAGGGGGGCUGCUCCUAGUACGAGAGGACCGGAGUGGACGCAUCACUGGUGUUCGGGUUGUCAUGCCAAUGGCAUUGCCCGGUAGCUAAAUGCGGAAGAGAUAAGUGCUGAAAGCAUCUAAGCACGAAACUUGCCCCGAGAUGAGUUCUCCCUGAGACUAUAAGUCUCCUGAAGGAACGUUGAAGACGACGACGUUGAUAGGUCGGGUGUGUAAGUGUAGCGAUACAUUGAGCUAACCGAUACUAAUGAACCGUGAGGCUUAACCUU